UACGCUUCUCCUAAAGACUAAGCCAUGCAUGCUUUCGAAUAAGAGGAAGCAAUUCUCUCUGAAUCUGCGAACGGCUCCGCAAACCAGUUGUAAACUAUAGCAAGCAUGCUCGGCGUUCGAUUUUCACGAGUCGAGCGUCGGGCGAUAAGGAUAACCCUGGUAAUUCUGAGGCUAAUACGAGACCGUAAAACCUAGCUGACUGGGCAACCAGGAGGCCGGGGGACGUGUAAUUGGUCGCAAGGAUGACCGGGAAAGAAUGCACGUUCUGACCGCGAUAAAAACGGAUCACUUCGGUGGCCCGAGCGGCUCUUGCGAUGUGCUUCUGACCUAUCAACUAGAUGGCAGCGUAACGGACAUGCUAUGGUUGCAACGGGUACAGAGGAUUAGGGUUCGAUCCUGGAGAGUGGGCCUGAGAGAUUGCUCACACUUCUAAGGAAGGCAGCAGGCGCGCAACGUUCCCCUUGGACAAUGUUCGAGGGCGUUAGGGGAAAUAUGAAUGCUUGCCAUUGGUAGGCAAUUCAAAUGGGUCUGUUCUAAACAGCCUCUCGAGUAACAAUUAGAGGA
rnacentral:rRNA from 1 species